UACGUAGGCAGCGAGCGUUGUUCGGAGUUACUGGGCGUAAAGGGUGUGUAGGUGGCGCUGUAAGUCGGGUGUGAAAUUUCGGAGCUUAACUCCGAAACUGCAUUCGAUACUGCGGUGCUUGAGGACUGGAGAGGAGACUGGAAUUCAUGGUGUAGCAGUGAAAUGCGUAGAGAUCAUGAGGAAGACCAGUGGCGAAGGCGGGUCUCUGGACAGUUCCUGACACUGAGACACGAAGGCCAGGGGAGCAAACGGG
rnacentral:rRNA from 1 species